GGCGAGGAGUGCUGCCAUGACAACGGAUUGACAAGGAUGUAAACAGACGAUGGGUCACGGAGGCAGAUGUCCAGGCAGAGAAAAGCAUGGCCCUGGCUAGUGGAGAACUGUAGGGGACAGUGCCCAAAGACUCCCAGGACCAAUUCCCAUUCUCCGGCUACAAACAAUACAGAGCACCUGGUUCUGGAUACAGCACAUUGUGGAUCUGCUCUAUCUGCCCCCAUGAGGCAUUUUGCCAUCCCUGAACUGGGGUCUUUUCAUUGCUGGUUACCCUCGACGAAAAACAAAGAUGGCGUGUCUCUAAAAGCUGAAGCGAAUGGCAUUGGAGAGAAGGUGGAGCCAGACUUCGUCGGGAGCAUUGUCAUAACGCGCGGACGCAAUCACAUUGGAUGUUGGUUGGUUGGUGGGUGGGUGGGUGUGUACGGAGGAAGAAGCGAUGUAAGAGGUUGGGACUAAAGGAAAAGACAUGACCUGGAUUUCCUUUAUCCUCUCAUAUCACUAUGGUUACCACAGCCAGUUACCUUUUGUGAACAGUAACAAGUAGCCUUGUCUGAGCCCAGUCUCUAAUGAGCGGUUUGGAGAGGGAUGACAGCACACACUGCCUGCUGGCUGGGGAAGGAGGCAUCAAAAGGGAGCGGGCAUUAGGGUGGCCAUGGGACAGCCUCAUACUGGAACCCCCCUUGCCUCUCCCCCUUUAGGCUGGCAGUUUGGCAGCACCUCACAGACAGACAGACAGGGGUGGUAUUAGUCUGUAACUUAUUUCACCCACUGAAUGUCAGACUCUCUGAAAGCCUCUCAUUUGGACCACUUUAGGGGAAUGGUUUACGACGCGACAGAGAGAGUCUUUUGACUACAUUUCUUUAGCCAGAGGCAUGUUACGCUCUUGGGACUUGUAGUAUUCAAAACUGAUUCCUGUUUGUUUAAGUAAGUUUGAAACAUAAGUAGGCUCUCAAAUAGUAUUUUUGUACAACAGCAUUUCCAACAAUCAAUAUCUAAUGUUAGCCCAGAAUGGGUUGUGAUGAAACAGCCCUCAGGGUAAGUGUGGUGCUUCGUUCAACACCAACACUCCACUUGCAUCCUCAAAAACUAAAAUGGAAUAUUAAAU
ensembl:lncRNA